rnacentral:rRNA from 1 species
UGACCCGUCUUGAAACAAGGACCAAGGAGUUUAACUUGUGCGUGAGUCAUUGGGCUCUGCGAAACCUAAAGGCGAAAUGAAAGUAAAGGCUAGCUUGCUAGCUGAGGGGUGAUGACCGUUCCUUCUCAGGGCGGUCCGCAACCCCGGGGCGUCUCAUUCUCUUUGAGAAGUGGCGCACCCAGAGCGUACACGUUGGGACCCGAAAGAUGGUGAACUAUGCUUGGCCAGGACGAAGUCAGGGGAAACCCUGAUGGAGGUCCGUAGCGAUUCUGACGUGCAAAUCGAUCGUCGGAGCUGAGUAUAGGGGCGAAAGACUAAUCGAACCAUCUAGUAGCUGGUUC